UACAGAGGUCCCAAGCGUUGUCCGGAUUUAUUGGGUUUAAAGGGUGCGUAGGCGGCCCUGUAAGUCAGUGCUGAAAUAUCCCGGCUUAACCGGGAGGGUGGCUGAUACUGCAGGGCUUGAAUGAAGUUGAAGUGGGCGGAAUUGACGGUGUAGCGGUGAAAUGCUUAGAUAUCGUCAAGAACACCGAUAGUGAAGACAGCUCACUAGCUUAUAUUGACGCUGAGGCACGAAAAGUUGUGGGGGAUAC
rnacentral:rRNA from 1 species